GGCCUUUUGAGUAUGAUUUAAGGUCUUACCUGCCCAAUGAUUUUUUAAUGGCCGCAGUAUUUUGACUGUGCAAAGGUAGCAUAAUCAUUAGUUUCUUAAUUAGAAGCUGGAAUGAAUGGUUUGAUGAGAAAUUAACUGUCUCUUUAUAAUUGUUUUAUAAUUUUAUUUUUAAGUUAAAAAGCUUAAAUUUUUUACAAAGACGAGAAGACCCUAUAGAGUUUUACGAUUUUAGGAGUAGCUUAUUUAAGGGUUUUGUUAUUAAAUUAUUUCUUGAAUUGUUUUGUUGGGGUGACAUGAAAAUUUACGUAACUUUUCAUUGGUUUUACACUAAUGAGUGAAUAUAUGAUCCUAUUUUUUAGAUUAUAAGAUUAAAUUACCUUAGGGAUAACAGCGUAAUUUUCUUUGAAAGUUCUUAUUGAUAAGAAAGUUUGCGA
rnacentral:rRNA from 1 species